CUUGGAUGGUUCUGGGAAUCUAACCCGUAAAGCAGGGGCGCCAGCAGGAGGUGCUUGUUCUCAUGUCUGCCCCUGCUGAGGUUCUGCUUCUCGUGUGGUGGUGAUGCAGCUGACUCCAGU
rnacentral:precursor_RNA from 7 species